rnacentral:misc_RNA from 1 species
GAGUGUUUCGUUUUAGAUUUUCUGUUAAAAAUGAAUUCUAAAAAACACACGUUUUUGACAUUGAAGCCAAAAGCUGAUAUUCUCGAUUCUUUAAAAAGAGGCUCAUCUAUGACGUUCUUAGCAAAGAAAUAUAAUGUUGCUAAAUCAACAAUUUGUGGAAUCAAAGCAAGAAAACAAAUGAUUUUAAAGUUCGUGAACAACACGUACUCGGGACCUGGACAAAGAAGAACUCUGCGUCCUUCAGAGCUGCAUAAAAUGGAGGAAGCUCUUUAUCGUUGGUUUAUCAAAAUGCGGAAUAAAAACUGGCCAGUAAGUGCCUUAAUGCUGAAAGAAAAGGCCAAAGUACUGCAUGCACAAGUAAAGGAAAAUGAAUCUAACUUCAACGCUAGUGAUGGAUGGCUUCAAGGAUUUAAAAAAAGGUACGGUAUUCGACUGCUGCAAAUAUCAGGCGAAAAACUAUCCUCGCUGCCUCAGCUCGUGGAUCCAUAUAAGGAAAAACUUAGAGCUAAAAUGGCCGAACUGGAGCUGUGUAACGACCAGUUAUAUAAUGCUGAUGAGUCAGACUUAUUCUGGAAACUUCUGCCAGAAAAAAUGUACGUGUCCAGUAUGGAAAAGAGAGCCCCAGGCGUUAAGUCGGAAAAACUUUUAUGUUGCUCAAACGCCACUGGAUCUCAUAAACUGAAACUUUUGGUAAUUGGAAAGGCAAAGAAUCCACGCUGCUUUAAAAACUUUCAAUGCCCCACAGACUAUAAGAGCUCAAAAUCCGCCUGGAUGACGUCGGCUGUUUUCAAGGAAUGGUUUCAUGCGUCCUUCGUUCACAAGGUAACGUCAUUUUUAAAGGAGAAAGGUUUGCCAAUCAAAGCUCUACGCCUAAUCGACAACGCUCCUUCUCACCCAAAUGAAGCUCAGCUGGCAACGGAGGAUGGACAAAUUCUGGCAAUGUUUAUGCCACCAAACGUUACUCCCCUCAUCCAACCAAUGGAUCAAAAUGCCAUAAAGAUCACAAAGUUGCAUUACAGAGACAGCCUUUUAGCCUCAUUAGCAGCUACAAACUCCAAUUUACUCGAUUCGAUUAAAAAAAAUUACUUUACGAAGAGCUAUAAAUCUUUUGGAUGCCGCUUGGAGUCGUGUCAGCGAAGUAACAUUAGCUAAUUGCUGGAAAAUUUUUUUAAAUUUUACGGCAGAUGAUGACGAUCCCGAAGAUAGUUGCUGAAUUAACGCUACCAGACGUUCAUGAAUGGAACGAAGAUAUUGAAGAUGAUAAUGCAAAUGAAGAGCAUGAAAAAGAACACGAUUCCGAUGAAGGCAGCGUAUCGGAGGUAGAGGAGAAAAUUAAGCGGACUGAAGCAGUUGAAAUUUUCAAGAAGGCGAUAAGGUGGGCUGGUCAUGAAGACGUCGAUCCAAAUGAUGUAAAUGUAUUAAGACGUCUAAGAGAGAAAGCUGUGCUCCAACUUUUAGAAACACAGAAGAUACAGAAAAGGAUGACUGAUUUUUUCAAAUAAAACCUAGAUUUUGUAUAAUAUGUGUUAUGUAAAAAUGUAUAUGUAAUG